ACUUGGUAAUGCCUGCCCUCCUCAAAUGUCCUUAAUCUCCUCAACUCUAGCCCUCCACCGCUUUCUCCCUGGGGUUCUGAAGAGCCGGCGCCCCCUUGUCUGUCUGCGGCCAGGCGCCGCACCCUUCCCUUCCCGCGGGAACGGUUCCGGUCACCCUCAGGGGUGCGGCCUCUGCGUGCUAGUCCUGCAAAGCGCUGAUUGGCCGGCGGCCCGCUUGCCUCGUGUCCCAGCGCCAGCUGGGCCUAGGGCCAAGGUCUCGGGAAGCCCCGGGUGACCUCGCUCUUCUCGGAGCCGCGGCGCUGGGUCACCCGCCAGCCGGGCUCCGCGGGCCGCGAGGGAUUGUGGGUGUUCCCCAGGCGCGUGUCCUGGAACCGGGUGUUAAAUAUUCAGAUCCGUGCGCCCCGCGCUGAAGGGUGGAAAGGCACGGCCCCCAGGCUCUGGGGCUUGGAGAUUGGUUGCAAAUGAAAGACUGAAAGCUGGAGUGAAUCUGCCCAUUAUUUUUAUUCCCAGCAACAGCUGACCCCAGAUACAGUUUGUGGGGGUGGGGGGCGUUACUGCAGGGCAGUGCACUGUUAACGUCCUUCGUUUAUUGAGUUAAAAUCUCUUGUAAAUGUUAUAAAUGAGGAUUUUGCCAAUAAGCAGAAGGUCAAAUUUCAUUUUGACAAAUGAUUUAAUUAAAUAAUGCGGUGAAAAGUGCUUUUUGUUUAAA
rnacentral:antisense_RNA from 1 species